rnacentral:tRNA from 1 species
UGAAGUGCGACACUAGCUCAGUUGGUAGAGCGCAACCUUGCCAAGGUUGAGGUCACGAGUUCGAACCUCGUGUGUC